AUACUGGUAAUUGGGGCUAAGUCGUAACAAGGUAGCCGUACCGGAAGGUGCGGCUGGAAUACCUCCUUUCUGGAGC
rnacentral:rRNA from 1 species